UUCACAAGAUGUUCGGCCUUCUCACGUAUUGUGUCAUUAAAAAUCAACGUCCCAUCCUCUUGGCUCAGAGAGCCUCCAUGAGCGUAGUACCAAUUUUUUGAUCGUUCAGGCCAUUCAAUAGUUGCAGGUACGAUUCCCCAUUCGAUCAAAUCUUGUUCCAUCUUCCUCCACUUGGGAAUUGCUGAGCCAUACCCACCUCGCCC
rnacentral:lncRNA from 1 species